GGGCGAUGGAGAUGACGCAGGGGGUGAGGACGAGAGCGCGGGCGGCGGCAGAGGCGACAGCUGGAUCGAAGAGGAGGACAGCAGCGCCGACUGAGAUCCAGCUAAGUAAGCGGCGGCGAUUCGUCAUGUCACAUCAGAUCUCGACGUCCCCGGUGAAUUCGAGAAGCUCCACUCCCCGCGACAGCCCUGAGCGCGGCCGGAUCUCCAGAUGCUCCAGCAAUGGAUCGUUGCUGGAGGGGGGAGAGGAG
rnacentral:misc_RNA from 1 species